CAUGGCCGAAAGUGCGCGAGUUAAGCUUAGUGGCGAUGUGGCUGCUUUGUUGGCUGAAGAUGUCUGCUCCCGGCUUAGGGAAGCCACACAGGUACAUAAUGAAGUAGUUAAAUCAAUGGAGAUUGUUAGCGUUAGUUUGGCCAGAAGCGAAUAUAUAUUAUUAAACGAGACGAGGCACAAUCUCUAAGCCAAAGAGAUUCGCUGCUGAAGUGUCCAACCGAUGUGGAGAACAAGCCUCCAAGGACGUUCAUUCGCAGAGACGGACGAACCCCCGCUCGCUGGUUCUAGCAGCGAAGAGGGCGAACCGGAUGAGUCCGAGCCGUGCACUUCCACCGAUGAUGACAGCUCCCUGGGUGGACAAGAACAGGUGGUCGCACUAGGCUUAGCCACACCUCCAAACAAUGCUGGCAGAGACCCUACUAUCUGAGACCCGGACUCAGAUUCGUCGCGAUAUGAAUGGAUCUUUACGGGAUAUGUUAGUGCAGGCUGGGCCAUAUCAGGAUAAGGUAGGGAAUUGAAGAGUUGAGGGGCAACGAAAAUGUUCGGUGGCCAACUACAAUAUGAGGAUGGCGAGUGGAGAUACCAUGGCUCGUUAAUUCCUAGCAAAAUGAUGCGGCCUUCUAUUUUUGUUGUUUUUCACGAGGGCAAAUCUGCGCUGGUCAUGGAUGGAACCAGGGACUGGGAAUAAUCUGUGCCACCUCAGCUCGCAUGAGAAGUCGCAUGACCGCCUAGAUAGUAUCCAGAAGUGGAAGGAGCUGGAGAUCAGGCUGGUGUCCAAGGAAGCUAUCGAUGCCCAAAGCCCAACGGGCUAUUGACAGAGAGACUCUGCAUUGGCAAUAUGUGCUGCAGAGGCUCAUAGCCCUGAUAUGUGUAAUGGCCACCCAAAACAUUGCGCUACGUAGGACCAGGCUGAACGAGCCAAAUAAUGUGAACUUUCUGAAGUUCUGGAUUUCUUUGAUUUCAGGACCAUGGACAGCUACCGAGAGAAAACAACGCUGACUGCAAUGCAGCAUCACAGCAGAAGGAAGAGACCACUCUAGGCGGGCCACGAAUUGAAGAAAUGCUGAAAUGUGAAGUCUGAGCCAUGAACUAGAGCAGCUUAACUGCGUUCUCCAUAUGGUGAAGAGCCUGGUUCAGAACCUUUACCUGUACCUCGGCUCGUACGUACGCAUCCUGGUGUCCAGCGUCAUGUACUGCAUCCUGGAGCCGCUGGUCGCCUCCAACUCCCUCAACGACCACUGGACCCUUAGGGAGUACGUAGCUCUGUGGGUCACCCACAUGUUCUGGCUAUUGAGCGAGUCAUAUACCCUUACCUGCAAGCUGUCCUGGAUGACUACUCUGUCUCCAAUGCCAAGGUGAAAGCAGACAGACACAGGUCUAUGGAGCAAUCCUGGUGGCAGUGGAGCACCUGCUAAAGAUUAGAGCCGGCAGCACCCAGCCACGCUUCGCGAGUGUGGUUUCCGCCAGGCUCAGCCUCUCUCCGAGGCCACCCUGGGCAUCGUCAGUCCCCUGCAGGGACCUGGGGGAGCUGGAACCCCCUGGAAUGACUGGACCACAUCCCCCUGCCCGCCAUGUACUCUGAGCAGGUGGUUAAGAGUGUUGGGCUCAUAACCAAAAGGUUGUUGGUUCGAAUCACCGAGCCGACGAGGUAAAAUUUUCUGUCUGUGCCUUUGAGCAAGACACUCAAGUCUAAUUGCACCUGUAAAGCACAGCUGUCGCUAUUUGAUAUUUGAUAUUAUUUAUAAAUAUUUGAUUUAGUUGCAUAUAUUAUUAAGUUGCAUACAAUAACUGUAAAAUUUACAAUGCACUUCUCUGUGCAAACAGGUAAUUACUUUCUAUCAACUUACACAUUGUCCUUGGAAUUGGUGGACAGUCAAACUGAAAGGAAGCAACUUCUAUUGCUUAGGGAUGGAUCGACAUCUACAUAAUGGGUAGCUGAUGGAAAAUUUUCCCGGUUCUGACCGUUCUGCCUGACCUGACACUGAGCCUGCCUGCCUGCUGUCCUGUACCUUCCACCCUCUCUGGAUUAUUGACCCCUGCCUGCCUUGACCUGUCGUUUGCCUGCCUCGUCUUGACGUUUGCCUGCCCCUGUUUAAGGAAUACACUUUUGUUUCUUCAACACUGUCUACACAUGGGUCAAACCUUAAAACGUGAAAGAAAAAGUCUACCUAGAAUCCUAGAUAUAGCAAAUGUAAAGCCCAAAAGGUAGGCUACUGUUAUGUCAGAUCGUGAAAUGUGUUUUCAAAUACAUUUUGACCUGUCUUAAUUUUUACUUUUUUUUUAAAAAUACUACUUUUUUUUUAACACACUGAAAAAAAUUGCGUGGACCAGAUUGACCGUUCUCCCCACUAUUUUUUGUUUCUUCAGUUAAGAUUCACAAUUAUUUUGUAUCUGCAGAAAAAUGUUGUUUUGAGCUCAACAAGCAGUAGCAUCAGUAUACAAAUCAGGGAGCCAAGUGAACAGCUCUUUUCUUCGAUGCGUGCACCAAAACGAUCUGUUCAAAAAGAGCCGUACGACUGAUCACUAUGGCAGUGAAGCGCUGUGAAGUGGAAACCACGACUUGAAUUCAGGAAGUAGGAGAGGGUAUGCCAUAGGCCUACUUUUUAUUAAAGAAAAUGGCAAAAAGCACAGGCCAACCUCUUGUUAGCUUAAGAUUUUGAAGAAAAUAAAAUGGAUCCGAUUAUAUAUAACGAUCUAUAACAGCAACAUGUAGUGUUGGUCCCAUGUUUCAUGAGCUGAAACAAAAGAAAACGUGUUUACAUCCCUGUUAGUGUCUUUUUCUCCUUUGCCAAGCAUAUCAACAAGCUAAUUAUGCAGCUUGCACACAGGUGCACCUUGUGCUGGGGAAAGUAAAAGGCCAAUCUAAAAUGUGCAGUUUUGUCACACAACACAAUGCCACAGAGUUUUGAGGGAGCAUGCAACUGGCAUGCUGACUGUGGGAAUGUCCACAAGAGCUGUUGCCAGAUAAUGGGAUGUUAAUUUCUAUACCAUAACCUCCAAUGUCUUUUUAUUUUUAUUUAUUAUAUAUUUUUUUUCAAUUUAAAGUUUUAUUAAGUUGUCUUGUUUUUCAAUCAACCAACAAAACACAUUCCACAUUCACAGAUGUGACAGGCUUUAAAAAAAUAAAAAGUCAAAAAAUAAUAAUACAUUUGAAAAAAUAAAAAUACAAUUAACAUGAAUGAUAAAGUCAAAUAAAAGCAUUUAUUUUUCUUAAUCUAUAUAUUUUCCUUGGUACAUAUA